CCUACGGGGGGCAGCAGUGAGGAAUAUUGGUCAAUGGGCGGAAGCCUGAACCAGCCAAGUAGCGUGCGGGAUGAAGGCCCUACGGGUCGUAAACCGCUUUUGCACGGGGAUAACACCCUCCACUUGUGGAGGUCUGCAGGUACCGUGCGAAUAAGGGCCGGCUAAUUCCGUGCCAGCAGCCGCGGUAAUACGGAAGGCCCGAGCGUUAUCCGGAUUCAUUGGGCUUAAAGGGAGCGUAGGCGGGCGUUCAAGUCAGCUGUAAAAUCGCGCGGCUCAACCGCGCCCCGCAGUUGAAACUGGACGCCUUGAGUUCACAACAGGCAGGCGGAAUUCGUGGUGUAGCGGUGAAAUGCAUAGAUAUAUGGAAGAACACCAGUGGCGAAGGCGGCUGUCUGGUCUGCAACUGACGCUGAGGCUCGAAAGCAUGGGUAGCGAACAGGAUUAGAUACCCCAGUAGUC
rnacentral:rRNA from 1 species